rnacentral:rRNA from 1 species
UUAGGGGGUUAGUGGCGACGGGUGAGUAACACGUGGGCAAUCUGCCCUGCACUCUGGGACAAGCCCUGGAAACGGGGUCUAAUACCGGAUAAUACUGUGCCCCUCAUGGGGGAUGGUUGAAAGCUCCGGCGGUGCAGGAUGAGCCCGCGGCCUAUCAGCUUGUUGGUGGGGUGAUGGCCUACCAAGGCGACGACGGGUAGCCGGCCUGAGAGGGCGACCGGCCACACUGGGACUGAGACACGGCCCAGACUCCUACGGGAGGCAGCAGUGGGGAAUAUUGCACAAUGGGCGAAAGCCUGAUGCAGCGACGCCGCGUGAGGGAUGACGGCCUUCGGGUUGUAAACCUCUUUCAGCAGGGAAGAAGCGAGAGUGACGGUACCUGCAGAAGAAGCGCCGGCUAACUACGUGCCAGCAGCCGCGGUAAUACGUAGGGCGCAAGCGUUGUCCGGAAUUAUUGGGCGUAAAGAGCUCGUAGGCGGUUUGUCACGUCGGGUGUGAAAGCCCGGGGCUUAACCCCGGGUCUGCAUUCGAUACGGGCAGACUAGAGUGUGGUAGGGGAGAUCGGAAUUCCUGGUGUAGCGGUGAAAUGCGCAGAUAUCAGGAGGAACACCGGUGGCGAAGGCGGAUCUCUGGGCCAUUACUGACGCUGAGGAGCGAAAGCGUGGGGAGCGAACAGGAUUAGAUACCCUGGUAGUCCACGCCGUAAACGUUGGGAACUAGGUGUUGGCGACAUUCCACGUCGUCGGUGCCGCAGCUAACGCAUUAAGUUCCCCGCCUGGGGAGUACGGCCGCAAGGCUAAAACUCAAAGGAAUUGACGGGGG